rnacentral:rRNA from 1 species
GAUGAACGCUGGCUACAGGCUUAACACAUGCAAGUCGAGGGGAAACGACGGGGAAGCUUGCUUCCCCGGGCGUCGACCGGCGCACGGGUGAGUAACGCGUAUCCAACCUGCCUCUGACUGAGGGAUAACCCGUCGAAAGUCGCCCUAAUACCCAAGGGCAUCGCCUGCGGGCAUCCACCAAGAAUAAAAGAUUUCAUGGUCCGGGGAUGGGGAUGCGUCGGAUUAGCUUGUUGGCGGGGUAACGGCCCACCAAGGCUACGAUCAGUAGGGGUCCUGAGAGGAAGGUCCCCCACAUUGGAACUGAGACACGGUCCAAACUCCUACGGGAGGCAGCAGUGAGGAAUAUUGGUCAAUGGGCGGGAGCCUGAACCAGCCAAGUAGCGUGCAGGAUGACGGCCCUAUGGGUUGUAAACUGCUUUUAUGCGGGGAUAAAGUGAGGGACGUGUCCUUCAUUGCAGGUACCGCAUGAAUAAGGACCGGCUAAUUCCGUG